rnacentral:tRNA from 1 species
GAGGCUUAGCUCAGCUGGUUAGAGCGCAUGCUUCACACGCAUGAGGUCACAGGUUCGAGUCCUGUAGUCUCC